AGCCUAUAAUGGCUGCCUUCCUAUGAGCUCUCAUGACAACCAGCCUGCAGAAACUCAAGACAUUGAACAGACCAAGGCUUCCUUAGGUGCAGCAAGCUUCCUCCAUCAUGAGCUUCCGUGCUGUGCCCUGGGACUUGGAUUCCUCGGCAGGGGUUCCCUGGCAAACAAAUCUGAAAAGGAUGUUUAAAGGCAGGGAGUUUGGAGAGCAUUGAGUUGUCAUGAACAAAGGUGAUUAGAGAAGAAAUCUCCCCCACCUGGAAACAACAUCAAGGCCUAGUUUUUGAAGAAUUUUGACACAAUCAAAUUUAUGAAGGACUUUAUGCCAGAGUACUGUCAUGUCUUCUGCAUUAUUUUUAACUAAAGAGCUUGCUUCUAAUUUAACCACUACCUUCUCUUUGCAGUCAUUCAAAACGUUUAUCAAGGUUUCUAAAAUACAGUCAUAUUAGAGGGCAAGAGUUUAUGUGACAUCUUCUCUGCAGGACCAUCUUGUUUGUGACAGGUUUUUGAAGAUAAUCUGUAAUGUGCAUUA